UCGAGAUGCAGAGGCAACAGUGAGACCAUCGAAGUAUUUUUCACUAAGCCAGCAGCCAGAAAUCCUUGUGACGCUUUGUGAAGUUCAUAGCGCCUUUGAUCGAGUUCAUUGUUGGGGCUUCCACCUGUUUUGGUUUAUACAAGAGAGUGUGGGAAAGCGCCCAUUGCAGAGCGCCUUUGGCUUCGAGGCUCUUAUCGACCACAACCAUGACUCUGUUAUUCCCCCCGCAUUGAUCAGAUUCUGGCUUUGCCCCGUCGCUGUUGAAGCUCAUCUCCUCGCUGUUCUUGCUGGAAAACUCAGCCGCCUUUUCAUCAGCUCGUAUCAGGCUACCGGACUUCUUGUAUGAUUGGAUAGGCGAGCGGGCACAAACGUGAGCCACCGUGCGCCGACUCAUGCAGAAACCUGCCCUCAGCUUAGCUCUCACACCAAUCAUCCUUGCUGCCACUACCUCUGGUCUGUGGGAAUAAAACCCAAAUUUGGUGUUUGAUUUGUAAUAUGCUUUUGGUGGGGAAUUGCAGAUUUUAUAUGUGAGUGAGAAGUUAAAGGUCAUGCAAAUCACUAUCUUGAAUCUGUUUGUUUAUUGAAUUUUCUAAGUGGUGGGGUUGUUUGUAGUUGACAUGCUUGCCAUGAAGCAUACCGACUAGUCAAUUGAAUUAUAAAUGUUUUGGAUGAGAAAAUUAUAUUUUAGCCAGUUGAUAGGAUUUUUUUUUUUUUUGAAAACUCCAGUUGAUAGGAUUUAAGAAUGUGUUGUAUGAGACUACUUUCAGUGAAAGAUAGAGGGCCAAGUUUUAGUGCGGCUA